rnacentral:rRNA from 1 species
UACAGGGGGGGCAAGCGUUGUUCGGAAUUACUGGGCGUAAAGCGUGCGUAGGUGGUUUGUUAAGUCUGAUGUGAAAGCCCUGGGCUCAACCUGGGAAUUGCACUGGAUACUGGCAGGCUAGAGUGCGGUAGAGGAUGGCGGAAUUCCCGGUGUAGCAGUGAAAUGCGUAGAGAUCGGGAGGAACAUCCGUGGCGAAGGCGGCCAUCUGGACCAGCACUGACACUGAGGCACGAAAGCGUGGGGAGCAAACAGG